GGAUUUGGAACCACUGAGCUAAAUCCCCAGCCCAAUAAUCUAAUUUUUGAAAAAGACAAAACUAUGCAAAAUUUCCAAAUGAAGUCAAAAGGAAAUGAGAGAAAACCACCUUGGCACUUGUGUUGAUCCCAUUAAGUCCAACUUUCUAUUUGUGUAGCAGCUUCAAAGUUUAGCGAAUUAAACACAGUUCCAAAGAGGGCCCAGGUUGAUGUAAGGGCUACCUCAGAGGGUUUGUGAAGAGCCUGGCAAUGUUCCACACCUUGAAAUUUCCACUAGCACUGCUGCUUUAGAAGAUAUAGAUUCUUUGAAGAGUCAGAUUGACAGAACCUUUAACAAACUAGGCAAGCAAGUUACUCUGGAAAAAGCUUGGCUUCUGGGAAGAGGACAUCUGAUUACAGUGGAUCAACUCUUUGGGAGCAUCAUCAGUUUGAGGCCAAGAGAAAACCAUGCGGGACCUGAUUGGAUGAUGCAUAAGAUGCAUAAGAAUCUGAAGUCUUACAGCGAAGAAUGACCACAGGUAAGGGUGGGAUCUCUGAUCUCACUUCCAGCUUAUCUUGCCAAGUCAGUGGGGGAUACAGCCUGGUUCCCACCACUGCAACCCAGAGAAGAAUGUUCACAGCACUGAGCUCCUUUGCUUCUCCUCUCAUUCAAACCUGAGGAGCUGUGGUCCAUGUGUAAGGCUGGUGAGGAACUAUGGACAGUACUUUACCUACUGUCCUACAUUUCACAGAUGAGCUGAUGACCACAUUUUAGUCUAAGGGGGCACAACAACUGAAACA